rnacentral:rRNA from 1 species
ACCAGACUCCUACGGGAGGCAGCAGUGAGGAAUAUUGGUCAAUGGGCGCGAGCCUGAACCAGCCAAGUCGCGUGAGGGAAGACGGUCCUAUGGAUUGUAAACCUCUUUUGUCGGGGAGCAAAAGACGCCACGCGUGGCGUUCCGAGAGUACCCGAAGAAAAAGCAUCGGCUAACUCCGUGCCAGCAGCCGCGGUAAUACGGAGGAUGCGAGCGUUAUCCGGAUUUAUUGGGUUUAAAGGGUGCGCAGGCGGAAUGUCAAGUCAGCGGUAAAAUUUCGGGGCUCAACCCCGUCGUGCCGUUGAAACUGGCGUUCUUGAGUGGAAGAGAAGUAUGCGGAAUGCGUGGUGUAGCGGUGAAAUGCAUAGAUAUCACGCAGAACCCCGAUUGCGAAGGCAGCAUGCCGGCUUCCGACUGACGCUGAAGCACGAAAGCGUGGGGAUCGAACAGGAUUAGAUACCCCAGUA